UACGGGGGGGGCGAGCGUUGUUCGGAAUUACUGGGCGUAAAGGGCGCGUAGGCGGUUCGCUAAGUUGGAUGUGAAAACUCUGGGCUCAACCCAGAGCCUGCAUCCAAAACUGGCGGGCUAGAGUUCUGGAGGGGGUAGCGGAAUUCCUGGUGUAGCGGUGAAAUGCGUAGAUAUCAAGUGGAACACCAGUGGCGAAGGCGAGUCUCUGGACAUUUCCUGACGCUGAGGCACGAAAGCCAGGGGAGCAAACGGG
rnacentral:rRNA from 1 species